UCUUAAAAGUUAAAGGGCGACUUAAUUCUUACUUAAUUAGUUACAGUCUAAUGGGGAAGGGAAGGGAUAGGUUAAUGGAAAUGAAGUUAGUAAUUAUGGCCACUUAGCUCGCUGAUAUUUCGAUCGCGGACUUGACUUGGAACGGGAUGCAACUGGGACGAACUUGGACGAGACUUGGAGAAACUUGACUUGGAGGAACUUGACUUGGAGGAACUUGACUUGGAGGAACUUGACUUGGCGGGAACAAAGCUGGACAGGAUAUGGCAGGAACGAAGCUGGACUUGACUUGGCGGGACUGGAACUUGACGGGUACGGGAACGAAGCUGGACGUGACUUUGUACUAAACUGGAUACAGUUCUUUUAUAGCGUGGAACAGACACUUUCCCAAAUGCCUUGAGCCGAAGUUGACAUUGAGUUGACUUUAAAAUACGGAAGGUGUAUUUCAGAAUUUCCUCAACCUCUCGAAGUGUCUACACUGUUACUCGCUGAUAUUUCUCCAAAGUCCAAACCUUGAAGUAUGUUGUAUACUGGAUAUUUGAAGCACUGAUGAUUAUUAAAAAUGUAUUAGCAGGAGAAGGGCUUCGGAUGAGGAGGUUCCAGGUGGGGGUUUCCAAGUGAUGGGGUUCCAAGUGAGGAUUUCAUGCAGGGGAUGGGGGUUUUAUACCUAAUUACAUAUUCACAAUCUCAAUAUCGAGAUCUCCUCCUACAAAAUAUUCUUACCCUAAACUUAACUAUUUCAUUAUUAUUACUGUAGGUGACUGGGCGGGCAUAAUACUCGAUGGACACUCAAACAGUGUUCCUAAACCAUUAAUCCUAACAUUAUGAUUGGGCAAAAGUAAAAAUAAGGGGAAGGAGUAAAAAAUACAAAUGCUCAUUGGUCAGUUGGGGAUAUUCCUGCUACUACUUUCUUUGGUGACUCAGCUCCUUUACUCAGAAAACAAAUGUCUUGUCUUCCAACCCAAACUGGUAUUUGUAGAGGGAUAAUUUAUUUGCCUGUUUCCCACUAUUUGCCUGUUCAUAAUCAGUCAACACAAACACUGGUUGAAUAUGGGCUUUGUCUACUAACAUCCUAUUCUUGGAAUCUUUGGACCAGUGGAAAAUGACCAGGUAUCAUCUCACUGUAGUUCGCUGACCUCAGUUAGGAAGAAAGAUGAUGAAAUAGGAGAGGGAAAGAGAAAGAGAGAGAGAGAGAGAGAGAGAGAGAGAGAGAGAGGGAGAGAGAGAAAGAGAAAGAGAGAGGGGUGUGGGGAUUGCCUGGUUUAAAGGGAGAUAUCUCUACUUCGCUACAUCUUCCCCUUGGCCACUUGAAUGGCGACCUCGCCAUUCCCCAAA